rnacentral:rRNA from 1 species
GCUUAUGCGUUGUUGGGUAGGGGAGCGUUCUGUAAGCCUGUGAAGGUGUGUCGUGAGGCAUGCUGGAGGUAUCAGAAGUGCGAAUGCUGACAUAAGUAACGAUAAAGCGGGUGAAAAGCCCGCUCGCCGGAAGACCAAGGGUUCCUGUCCAACGUUAAUCGGGGCAGGGUGAGUCGACCCCUAAGGCGAGGCCGAAAGGCGUAGUCGAUGGGAAACGGGUUAAUAUUCCCGUACUUGGUGUUACUGCGAAGGGGGGACGGAGAAGGCUAUGUUGGCCGGGCGACGGUUGUCCCGGUUUAAGCGUGUAGGUGUGUGUUCCAGGUAAAUCCGGUUCACUUUAACACUGAGGCGUGAUGACGAGGCACUACGGUGCUGAAGUAACAAAUGCCCUGCUUCCAGGAAAAGCCUCUAAGCAUCAGGUAACAUCAAAUCGUACCCCAAACCGACACAGGUGGUCAGGUAGAGAAUACCAAGGCGCUUGAGAGAACUCGGGUGAAGGAACUAGGCAAAAUGGUGCCGUAACUUCGGGAGAAGGCACGCUGACACGUAGGUGAAGUGAUUUACUCACGGAGCUGAAGUCAGUCGAAGAUACCAGCUGGCUGCAACUGUUUAUUAAAAACACAGCACUGUGCAAACACGAAAGUGGACGUAUACGGUGUGACGCCUGCCCGGUGCCGGAAGGUUAAUUGAUGGGGUCAGCGCAAGCGAAGCUCCUGAUCGAAGCCCCGGUAAACGGCGGCCGUAACUAUAACGGUCCUAAGGUAGCGAAAUUCCUUGUCGGGUAAGUUCCGACCUGCACGAAUGGCGUAAUGAUGGCCAGGCUGUCUCCACCCGAGACUCAGUGAAAUUGAACUCGCUGUGAAGAUGCAGUGUACCCGCGGCAAGACGGAAAGACCCCGUGAACCUUUACUAUAGCUUGACACUGAACAUUGAGCCUUGAUGUGUAGGAUAGGUGGGAGGCUUUGAAGUGUGGACGCCAGUCUGCAUGGAGCCGACCUUGAAAUACCACCCUUUAAUGUUUGAUGUUCUAACGUGGACCCGUUACCCGGGUUGCGGACAGUGUCUGGUGGGUAGUUUGACUGGGGCGGUCUCCUCCUAAAGAGUAACGGAGGAGCACGAAGGUUGGCUAAUCCUGGUCGGACAUCAGGAGGUUAGUGCAAUGGCAUAAGCCAGCUUGACUGCGAGCGUGACGGCGCGAGCAGGUGCGAAAGCAGGUCAUAGUGAUCCGGUGGUUCUGAAUGGAAGGGCCAUCGCUCAACGGAUAAAAGGUACUCCGGGGAUAACAGGCUGAUACCGCCCAAGAGUUCAUAUCGACGGCGGUGUUUGGCACCUCGAUGUCGGCUCAUCACAUCCUGGGGCUGAAGUAGGUCCCAAGGGUAUGGCUGUUCGCCAUUUAAAGUGGUACGCGAGCUGGGUUUAGAACGUCGUGAGACAGUUCGGUCCCUAUCUGCCGUGGGCGCUGGAGAACUGAGGGGGGCUGCUCCUAGUACGAGAGGACCGGAGUGGACGCAUCACUGGUGUUCGGGUUGUCAUGCCAAUGGCACUGCCCGGUAGCUAAAUGCGGAAGAGAUAAGUGCUGAAAGCAUCUAAGCACGAAACUUGCCCCGAGAUGAGUUCUCCCUGAGACUUUAGGUCUCCUGAAGGAACGUUGAAGACGACGACGUUGAUAGGCCGGGUGUGUAAGCGCAGCGAUGCGUUGAGCUAACCGGUACUAAUGAACCGUGAGGCUUAACCUU